UACGAAGGGUGCAAACGUUGCUCGGAAUUAUUGGGCGUAAAGCGCACGUAGGCGGCAUUGCAAGUCGGAUGUGAAAUCCCUCGGCUUAACCAAGGAAGUGCAUCCGAAACUGCAGUGCUUGAGUACUUAAGAGGAUCGCGGAAAUUCCCGGUGUAGAGGUGAAAUUCGUAGAUAUCGGGAGGAACACCAGUGGCGAAGGCGGCGAUCUGGGAAGAUACUGACGCUGAGGUGCGAAAAGCGUGGGGGAGCAAACAGG
rnacentral:rRNA from 1 species